CAAAGGGUAGUUUAAUAAAAAUAUUAAUUUUGGGAAUUAAUGACAAGAUUUUUCUUUCCUUUGA
rnacentral:tRNA from 1 species